GGUCAGGGCAGGUCAACUGUCUAUCUCGUGAGACUCCACAUGAGCAGGCUGGCCCAGCCCCUUCACAUAAGCCCCGCCCCGCCAUCCAGCCCCACCUCCUUCCCAGAGCCUCGUCGCUGCCCCGCCCCAAAUAAUUACGAAAGCUCCGCCUACUUGGCCGGUUCCUGUGCUCUGCUCUGUCUGGGCUUUGGCCAAAGGAGAGUGCCUCCGUGAAGGGUCCACAUGCCGGGAUGAUGCCUUGUGCGGGAGGCGAUCAAACACGCACAACUGAAGCUGCCCUCCCAACCCCGGGAUCUCAGCUGACACCAAGUGCUGCUAGCUUCGGAACGGGUGGUUCCUGGAACCCUUCUUGCCACCGAUCAUGCUGCUACCUUGGACCUCAGAGCCCACGCAGGAGCGGCCCCUCAGUCCCUGAGACCUUGCUGGAGUUCACUCACUCCCCCACAAACCUGAGGGCCCAAGGCCCGCCAGGGAGGCUGUGGAGAGUCAGGCUGCUGGAGGAUGAAGAUGCUUCAGGAGUGGUUUAUUUGACUUUUUUAAAUCAUGGCGUUAAUCUCUUUACAUAAAAACUUAGAAUAUUUUCGUUAGAGAAAUCUCCUAGAUAGCUUGAGUAGGACAGGGCAAAAGUUGUACAGAAAAAGCAAAGUUACACGUGUUUUCAUGUGCUGGUUUUUUAUGUGCUACAAAGACGCAUCUCCCAUUCUAAACCUUAAAAAAAAUCUGUGUGUGUUUGACUACAUGUAUGUCUGUGAACCACGUGGGUGCCUGGUGCCUGUAGACACCAGAAGAGGGCGUCAGAAGCCCGAGGACUGGCGUUUCAGGAGGUUGUGAACCACCAUGUGAGUGCUGGGCAUUGAACCCAUCUUUUAAGAGCACUGACUGCUCCUAACUGCUAAGCCAUCCCUCUUGCCCCUAAACAUCAUCUUUUGAUGGAAUCAACAGGAGUCCAUAGUGGAAAGGCGCAUCAGGGGAUGACAGGGGCUUGAGGACUUUAUUCUGCACUCUUCCAUGGAGUGUAGGGAGAGACUUGUGUUGUCGGAAAGAGCAGCAAGGGUUUGGUCAACAAGGUGAGCCCCCAGGGCAGAGUCUGACCAGCUGACAUUGCAGUGGUCUGUGGACCGGCAGCUCGUCCUCCGCUUCUGAACUGUCUGGAAUUGGGAUGUCUUGAAGAUAUUUCAUACAGAAAUGAAAGAAUAAAAAUGGUGUGAGGAGACAGCUGCACACUGCCAGUUCAAACCGUGACAAAGCUAUCCUCAGGAGCUGAGGAAGUUUCAGGGGAGAUGCACAUGGCACUUACUCUUUAGCAUUCUGGUCCCCAAGCGCUUAGGAAGCAAUUGAACGGCUGCAAAUUUGUCUCUGCUGUGGUGAUCCACUUGAAGUAAUUCAUGUAGAGGUGUUUCUGCUUUGCAGUCACAUGAAUCUGCAUUCCAGAGGUUGGUGACUAAUAGAAGACCAGGCAGAAAGAACACAGACUCCUGAGCUGCAUAAGACAUUAAGUGGGAUGGCUCCCUCUGAGCUUCCUGCUGUUCGUUGCUUGAAAAAUCUUUAAGCUUCUUGGUAAAUAAGUGUGCUGCUUGGCAAAUAAGAUGCAUGGUGUAAAAGUGUGCUUGGCCAUUUAUUGGCACUUACCUGCUGUUGGGAUUUGCUUGGUAAUGUGUUUCAGAAAACUAUUUAAAUUUUUACUAAACCAGGAAAUGAAUAGUCAAAAACAAAGACAAACAAACAAAACUACCUGCUUGAGAACAGAAUUUGCCCAGUGCUGUCUAGCCAGAAUCCUCAAAAUUCUUUCAUAGAGCUCCAUUUCCUGGCAACUAAGCAUUGAAAUACAUAAGCCUCUGGGAACCAUUCUUGUUCAAACCACCACAAGCUUCUUCAGAUCUUAGCACCCUUAAUCCUAAAAACACACACUUUCACCAAUGUAGUACGACUAUUUGUCACAUUUCAUAAAAACCCUGCCUUUCUCCUCUCCCCUUCAUUCCUCUCCCAUGGUCGUGAAGGGAGGCACUGAUGUGCCUGGUGUGAGUCUUGGAGCCUGUUUGUCUGCUCUCUGUAUCCCCCUUAUGUUCAAAUAUUACCCUGCUCUGUAAAGUGUCUACCUAGUUCCUCGAUGUUUACCAACCCACCACUCACCCUGUGCCUCUCUGAAUGCACUCUAUAGUUUUUCAUCGUAGGGUGGCCUUCUGUGGAAAUAGCUUGAGGACAGGGUUCUUCAAAAAGGCAAGCCAUGUUUUAUUUCAUCUCUCUGGCUUUGGAUUCCCCAAAACAUCAUGGCUAUAGGACUCUUGUUUCCCAGUGGUCCCAGCUCAAAUUUGCUUCUUGUUGGGGAAGGUUUCUCAGGGUUUCACACCAUGAGCGAGGUUUGAGUAAACUCCUAUAUGGAGUAGGAGCACCACAGUUAACAUCAGUUGGCUUUGUGUGGAGACUUGCCCACAAUGCUUCAGUGCUGUGGGCCCCGUGGAUACAUUUCUGGAUUGAUAGUAAAGACUCCAGACUUUUGACAAAACUA